rnacentral:misc_RNA from 1 species
CGCACAUUGCGCCCGCCAGUAUUCUGCCGGGCAUGCCUGUCCGAGCGUCAUUUCAACCCUCGAGCCCCCGGGCUUGGUGUUGGGGAUCGGCCCGCCCCCGUGGCAGGCCGGCCCCGAAAUCUAGUGGCGGUCUCGUCGUAGCUUCCUCUGCGUAGUAAUGCACCUCGCACCGGGACGCGGCGCGGCCACGCCGUAAAACCCCCCACUUCUGAAAGGUUGACCUCGGAUCAGGUAGGAAUACCCGCUGAACUUAA